CGCGCGUGAGGAGCGCGGGGUCCUGGCCGCGGGCGCCUCGGGAGCCGCAGUUGGGGCUGUCGUGUCCCGCGCUGUGAGCGGCAGGGAGCUGAGCGGCGGCGCUGGGGCGCGGCUGCGGCUGCAGGAUGCCUUUGCCGGGCUCGCGGGACCCUGCUAAGACGGAGCCUCACAUCCUGCGGUCAUCGUGCAGCCUGGCGCCCAGUGCACAGCAGCCGCCGCCUGUGAGCCACACUGUGAUUUAUGGUGGAGACGAAGAGAGACAGAGACACUAGCAGCACUGCAGCACCACUUAUGAAGCUUUCCCCAGCGGGUGUGGACCAAGAUCUUGAAUCCAGGUCCUCAUGCUCUUUCAAAAAAUAAAAAGCACAAAAUGACCGCUGA